rnacentral:rRNA from 1 species
UACGUAGGGUGCGAGCGUUGUCCGGAAUUAUUGGGCGUAAAGAGCUCGUAGGCGGUGUGUCACGUCGUUCGUGAAAACCUGCAGCUUAACUGUGGGCUUGCGGUCGAUACGGGCAUCACUGGAGUUCGGCAGGGGAGACUGGAAUUCCUGGUGUAGCGGUGAAAUGCGCAGAUAUCAGGAGGAACACCGGUGGCGAAGGCGGGUCUCUGGGCCGAUACUGACGCUGAGGAGCGAAAGCGUGGGGAGCGAACAGG